rnacentral:rRNA from 1 species
UCAAUGNUCGCAAGANUGAACGAGCAACUGAAAUAAUCUUUGUGUCAAAGAUGAAACAUUAGGGAAAAUUANGAUAUCACNUNAUANAUAGUGUCGUCCAAGUGCUCGUGCCAGAAGACUCGGUAAGGCGAGAGACGCAAACGUUAGUNGUCUUUAUCAGGNNUAAAGGNUUANCAGGCNGCUCUAAGAAUUCAUUUUUUUAAUNUAGNAAUUAANACCUUNACCUGGGGUAACUAAAUUAAGNAAAAUAAAUCAAUUNGAGCUAGAAUCAAAAAUAGGUUAAGAAUUUAAUGNUUNUAGUAAGAGUUGGUAUUNAUAGNUAAGAAGUAGAAANCNAUGGGCGAAGGCUUUUUUCCAAUAAUGAUUGACGCUGAGAAACUAAGGUGAGGGUAGCAAAAAGGACUAGAGACCGUAGUAUUCCUCACUGUCAACAACGAAUGGCAGUUAUUACAAUAGCAGUAAAGGCAAAGUUAACACGUAAAACCAUUCCGCCUUGUGANUACGAUUGCNAAAUUGAAAACAAAAAAAUUAGUCGGUUUCNGAGCAAACGAAUGAAGC